rnacentral:lncRNA from 1 species
AUCAACUUUACAGACUCAAUCUGACUCUGUGAACCAAACUGCAUGAUUGAAGUAUUAUAUAACUUAAACCCAAAAAUCAAAUAGGCAUGAUUGAAGUAUUAUACAACUUAAACCCAAAAAUAUUAAUAACGAAAUAGCAAAUAAAAUGCACGAAUUGUAAUAUCACACCUCUUCAUAGGGCAAAUUCGUUAAAGAUUUCCGCAGACGCAUCUCUUUCUUGCAAUCGCAUUAAUUCAUAUUCCCGAGAAGUCGAGAAGAGUACGGAACAACAAUCCUAAAGAGCUAUGGCGUUACGAAGCAAGAGGUUAGCUACACUUAUCUUCUCCAUCUCCAACAACUUUUAGGUUUGCAAUUCCGGAGGGGUCGCGAGCAACGGGACAUUGUUCAGCCGCCGGAUCUCCUCUGCUACCUCAUCUGCUGCUGUUGUGGUGGAUGAUGAAUCUGGAGGGAUUUACGGAUUGGGAGGUGUGUUAAAAGGGUAUGAAGAUUACCGAAGAUCUCUAACAAUGAAUUCACUCACAAGGCGUUGCUAUUUGAUGUGGGCCAACAAUCAACUGAGAGAAGGCGAGAUCAUCAAUGGUUGCGUGGUGAGCAGCAGGCUGUUCGGAAAUUGCAUAUGAAGCAUCAAGUUUCAAUUGAGAGGUUUAGGAUUCUUCGGAAGGGAAACUCAGAUAGCGAGUAUGAGAUGUUGGAUUCGAGGCUCAAUCCUCACCUAUUUAUAGGGAUAGUAAACGCUUCAGUUGUUGAUAGUAAAGAAAAGGAGACGGGGAGACUGGGAAGAUAAAGAGUUAAAUGGAAAAGAAAGUGAGUGCAAUGUUUCAUAUGGUGACGGUGUAGCGUCGUAGGGGAGAUUAAAUCUUACCUAAUCGAUUCAUAGUCUAAACAACGAUUAAUUAAAAGAUCCAACAAAUAAUCAAGAAUUUUAUCAUUUCGUGUUUGCCGAUGAGAAUAAAUUAUUAAGAUUUGUGGAUCCGUAAAUAAAGGAAGUGAUGAUGUGAACUUAGGAGAGAGAAAAAACUUUUCUAUUAUAAUAUAGAGAUUCUCGUCACCUCUGAUCUUUGGGUGGUUCAUUAACGGGGUACAACUUGUCUCCAUUUUACAUAACUCUUUUUAGGUUGUAAUAACCUUUUAUUACCUUGUAACAUCCGCUUCGUUUUCGUAAUUUUUUGUUCAAAUGCCUUUUAAUGUAAUCACAUAGAAUAUGUUAAUCAUAUAUAGUCAUAAAAUAUAGAAUGCGG